GUGUAAAGAUAACUAAGGAACCUCCGGAGGACCAGGACUGGUUCUGCCCAAAAUGUCGCAAGAAAAAGAGGAAAAGGAAGAAAUACUGAAGAGCUCAUUAUUCAGUUUAUUAUUUUUGUAAAUAUGAACAAAAUUAAAUAUUCAAUCAAUUUAUAAAGCUGAUAAUGAUUUUUAAAUGAUGAAAUUUAUUAAUAUAAAAAGAUGGAGAUUAUGUUUUGUCACUGAAUACAUUUAAACUGGGUGCUGUUGAAACAAGCCAUGGGCAAGGUGUUUUAAAGCUCUAUAUAAUUUCAAGCAGGGGUUGUAUAUUUGUAGUUUAGAAAAAUCCCCAAAACUAAUACAUUUUUUAGGGAAUUUAUUGCGAUUGGCAACAAGAAUUCCACUAUUAUUUUUUUAAAGACCAAAUUACAUUAAACUUAAAAAUGUUUGAAUGAGAUUUGAUAAUAAAUUAAGAUUAAGUGUGAGAGUAACUGUAUAUGAUAUUGUAUGUUUAAUAGUAAUACAGUAUUGUAUAUUAAUUUUAUGUUUUGACGAUUUGUAACUGUCUGGGUGGCCUACCUUAUUACAGAAUUUAUCACAUGUUGUGAAGCCAACCAAUCACUGUGUCAUACAAUGGUCGAAUCCAACUCCGCUUCCUAUGGGAGCUAGACAACAUGACGCGCUGUCUGCUGAUUGAAUGAAUGCAGUCUGAAUGAAUCGUCAUUAAAAACCAUGCAUUUGUGUUUACAAUACGUAAUUACGCAAGUUUGUGGGACAAUUGUGCAUUCUGAUAGCCCAGUAAUUAAGUUUGUUUGACAUGUCAACCAUGGUUUUACUAGAGUUGUCGUAUGUAUACAAAAGGCAUCUUACCAUAAAUGUUCCAUUAAGCAGACUCUCAUAAACUUUGUUGGAAGCUCGAAAGUAAAACAUAAAUUCUUUUAGCGCUAAAAUGUACAAUGUAUUGUAAUUAUGUUUGGUGUGGCGGUUAUUUGAACAUUUACCGUAUGUGGUACACAAGUUUUAACCAUGUUUUUAUCUGUAGAUGUUCUUUGCUAAAAACAUGGAUUUUUUUUUUUUCUAUACAGGUAUAAGUAUUUGUAUUUCAUUAAAAUAAAAAUGAAUUUUAUGAAUUAAGCAGGGCUUACAGGAAAUCUUUGAUAGCUGUGAUUUGUGAACUAAAUAAGCCGCAUUCCUCCUCCUCUACACAGUCUAUAUACUGUAAUUUUAAAUUUUGCCUUUCGCUUCCACUGUAUUUUGGAAAAGGUGAAAGUAACAUCAUGUUUUCAGACUAAAUUAACAGUACCAUAAUACUUAUAAUGCAAGUUGCAUUUGUUGGUGUGUGUUAGGCAACUCUUGGCAUGCUAAUGUAGUGUAAACUUACAUUCCUUUGAUUUUAUACUACAAGUCAAUGUCCAUCACAUGUUUCCUGGAGUUAAUUUUACUGUAUUUCAUACUUAAUACACAGUAGAGGCUUAAAUUAAGGGCACACCUACCCAUAAAUAGGGGUUUUCACAUGGUCUGUUUUAGUUUAAAGUAUCUAAUUUCUAAUAAUUUUCAAUGCCAAUACAGUACAAUAUAUUUUAUGAUAUAAAAUCAACAUACAUAUAAUUAAUAUAAUGGAACUUGAUAUUUGAUACAUGACGAAAUAUUUUUUUUUGGCAAUACUGUACUGAGCUUUCUAUUUAUAUGUAGAAGAUACAGUAGCAUAAAGAGUAAUGACUUUGAAUUAGUUUGUGGAUUGAAAUCCCAUAUAAAAGUACAGAUACAGUACACAGAACAAAGAAGUGCUGUUUAAUGUGUAUGGCUCAACAUCUGAAUGAAAUGCGUUUAGUCUAUUGUAUUGUCACAGAUAAGAAAAAAAUAGUGUCCCCCAUAUAGGGUAAAAUAGGUUAGAUUGACCAUUACACACACAAACAGUUCACCUGUCCCUUAAAUAGUAGUGAUUUUCAUCCCAUUAUUUUGCAGAAAGUUGCCUAAUGUUAGUGCCAAUCACGCAAGUCUCCUUACUGCAGUGUAUUGUUACCUUGAUUUUUGUAAUUAGUGUAGCAGACACUCAUGAACCCUUUAUGUCUGAAGACCAGCAUUUGCCUUGGUCUGAUGAUAUAUUGUGUCUUAAGCAUUGAAACUAACUAGCAUAUUGUAUGUGAAGGAUAAUACAGUGUACAUUAUAGUGCAUGAUUGUAAAAUAUCCCCAUUUCAUCUUUUUGUAUAUAAUGAAAAUGAAAAAAAUAUCAAUAUCAAGUACUACAAUUUUUUAAAAUAAAGAUCAAAUGAACCUUUUA
rnacentral:lncRNA from 1 species